AGAUGUUCAAUUUCGAUUUUCCAGCGUGUAAACUAAUUUUCGUGCGGUUCCAAGCUGAUCGUUAAAUCAACUCGGUCGUUAGAAGCUCGAUAAUUUCGUCUGAAAACAUCGGGAUGCGGAAAUGUCGCUAUGACCUAAUUUUCGAAGCGAUUUAACGCGGUCUUCGUUUACGUUCAUCGUUGUCCAUGGAAUAUUCGAUAUCCAUGAUGGAUACGUGAAUGAAAUGAAACUGGAAACAAUCUUGUAAUUUAGCAUACAUCACGUGUGUAUAAUUUUAUAAAAUUGAUUUGAUAUCGAUCGUAAAGAGAAAUUAUCAAUGAUUACAUUAUCCAUGUGAAAAGUAUAAUUUGAAUUGGAUCAACGAAAAAGUUUGAUUUAUUAUUUUAUUUCCGAAAUUAUGUUCAAAUAUAUGAGAAAAAACUUUAUUUUUUUUUUAAAUAUAUGUAUAUGUGAUAAUUAUUGUGAAUAAUUGUUGCUGAAUGAAAAAAUUAAUAAGAAAAUGUACGUGCGAUUCUUUAGAAAGUGAUUCUUUUCAAGUGGAAGUGCUUCUAAAAUGGCUUUUAUUGAUUUUCAAGAGUUCUUCUCAAACCCAAAUUCUUUGUUAAUAUCGUUAGUAUAUCAAUCUGCUACAAUUUGUAUAUAAAUUCACUUAUAACCAUCGAUCAUGUACAUUGAAGUUGAGAUAUUUUAGUAAAAAUCAGUAGAAAGAAGGUUAAAUCAAUUUCAUUUCCCUAAUUUUAUUUACAUGAUCGAUCAUCGUAAAUAUUUAAAAGAGAUAAUAAAUGCCACUUUGAAAUGAAAAACAAAUGAUCUGAAAAUAGCCUUGGCAUCUACGUUCGUCAAUCUCUUUGCCUUCGUGUUCCUACGCAUUAUUUAUAAGUUAAAAUGGGUCAGCCUGUAUUUUACAGCACAAAUACAAUAAUUCAAUAGCAGUGAUUUAACCUGAUUAUAACGAGACAAAUGAAACGAAAAGAGAGAAUUAUUUUUUGUUGAGAGUAAGAGAUGAAUGUAAAGGAUUUCAAUCUCUCUCGGUACUUUUUAAUAAACUUUAAUUCCCACGUGUUUUAAUAAAUAAGUUAUAAAAAAGACCACAUUGAUGUCGUUUUAUGAUGUCUAUCUACGAACGUUCAAUUUCGUCUUUAUCACAGCUAAGGCUGUUAACCUGGGUUAAACUUUUUCAUUCUUUUUACCGACAUAUUCGAAUGAA